AUUACCAUUAUAUUUACAGUGGAAUUUCCACGUUGAUUUUAUUCACUUAACAUGGAAAUUCACAACAAUCAUAACACAAUAUAUUUAAUAAUCCAUACAGAUUAAUUUCCUUCGUAACUAACGUUCCAUUCCAUUUAAUGUAAUAUAAUUUCACGUAUGUUUUUUUUUAUUAUAGACACUCAAAAAAUCAACCGUCAAAAACUGAUUAUUCUUCAUAUUCGUUAUUACAAGCGCCCGUGAGUUGCCGGUAUUCUCGAUCAAUAAUCAGGUAUUACCUGCGUCAUAAUUUGGCAGACUGGAUUUCCAAUUCCACAGAAGUUUUAGACAGAUUUGUUCUGAUGUUAAAAUCAACUGGA